CCUACGGGUGGCAGCAGUAGGGAAUAUUGCUCAAUGGGGGAAACUCUGACGCAGCAACGCCGCGUGAAGGAUGAAGGUUUUCGGAUCGUAAAGUCCUUUUGUUAGAGAAGAUUAUGACGGUAUCUAACGAAUAAGCACCGGCUAACUCUGUGCCAGCAGCCGCGGUACUACGGAGGGUGCAAUCGUUACUCGGAAUCACUGGGCGUGAAGAGUGCGUAGGCGGGGUAAUCAGUCAGAAGUGAAAUCCUGUAGCUUAACUACAGAACUGCAUUUGAAACUGUUACUCUUGAGUGUGGGAGGGGUAGGUGGAAUUCUUGGUGUAGGGGUGAAAUGCGUAGAGAUCAAGAGGAACACUCGUGGCGAAGGCGACCUUCUGGAACAUAACUGACGCUGAGGCACGAAAGCGUGGGGAGCAAACAGGAUUAGAUACCCGAGUAGUC
rnacentral:rRNA from 1 species